GGACUACUAGGGUUUCUAAUCCUGUUUGCUCCCCUUGCUCUCGCGCCUCAGCGUCAGGUAUAAGCUAGAGAACCGCUUUCGCCACCGGUGUUCUUCCACAUAUCUACGCAUUUCACCGCUACACGUGGAAUUCCGUUCUCUCCGCCAAUCCUCGAGAUUUAUAGUUUCAAAUGCAGCUCCGAAGUUGAGCCUCGGAAUUUCACAUCUGACUUAUACAUCCGCCUACGCGCCCUUUACGCCCAAUAAUUCCGAUUAAUGCUUGCACCCUCCGUAUUACCGCGGCUGCUGGCAC
rnacentral:rRNA from 1 species